rnacentral:rRNA from 1 species
AACGAACGCUGGCGGCAUGCCUAACACAUGCAAGUCGAACGAAAACUUUCGGUCUUGUGGCGCACGGGUGCGGAACGCGUGGGAAUCUGCACUUGGGUUCGGAAUCCCUGAGAGAAAUUGCUGCUCAUACCGGAUGAUGUCUUCGCACCAAAGAUUUAUCGCUCAGGGAUGAGCCCGCGUAGGAUUCGCUGGUUGGUGGGGUAAUGGCCUGCCAAGGCGAGGAUGCUGAGCUGGUCGGAGAGGAUGCUCAGCCACACUGGGAAUGAGACACGGCCCAGACUCCUACGGGAGGGAGGAGUGGGGAAUACUGGAGAAGGGGGGCAAGCGUGGUACAGCAAUGCCGGGUGAGUGAUGAAGGGCUUAGGGUUGUAAAGCUCUUUUACCAGGGAUGAGAAUGACAGUACCUGGAGAAUAAGCACCGGCUAACUACGUG